rnacentral:lncRNA from 1 species
GAGCUGUCCAGGAGGUGGGAGGGUCUGCUGCUGAUUGGCUGGAAUGUGUCUGCUGACUGUGAGGUACAGGGUCAAAGUUUACUCAAUGAUAAGUCCGCGGCGAACCGUGGCGAACCGUUCGGGACAUCACUACUCUCUAAAGGUGUUAAAAUUAAUGUUUUGUUUAAAAAAAAAUGUAUAUUUACAACCAAUAAUGAGCUCUUUAUAAAUUUAAGGGAACACUCCCACACCAUAGCAAACCAAACUCAUUUUACCCCUUAAGGACCAAACUUCUGGAAUAAAAGGGAAUCAUGACAUGUCACACAUGUCAUGUGUCCUUAAGGGGUUAAAGGGACUCUCCAGUGCCAGGAAAACAAUCUGUUUUCCUGGCACUGCAGGUCCCCUCUUCCUCCCACCUCCCAUCCCCGGUUGCUGAAGGGGUCAAAACCCCGUCAGUGACUUACCAGAGGCAGCGACGAUGUCCCUCGGCGCUGCUUCUUGGUCCGCCCACGCUCCUCCCCAUCACCACGUCAGCCGGCCGGGGAGACUGAUCAUGCCCGCCGGCGGGGGAGACCUAAUGCGCAUGCGCAGAAAUGCCGCGCACGCGCAUUAGACCUCCCCAUAGGAAAGCAUUGAAAAUGCUUUCAAUGCUUUCCUAUGGGGAUUUUAGCGACGCUGGAAAUCCUCACAUAGCGUGAGGUCGUCCAGCAAUGCUAUAGCACAGAAAAUCUGUGCUAUAAUCCCGGAAGUGGCGUUAACCCUGCAAGGUAAUUAUUGCAGUUGAUAAAAACUGCAAUAAUUACAGUUGCAGGGUUAAGGGUAGUGGGAGUUGGCACCCAGACCACUCCAAUGGGCAGAAGUGGUCUGGGUACCUGGAGUGUCCCUUUAAGUUGUUAUGCGGGGAAGCUUGUCCAGGUGCUAACUUAUCUUCAUUAGCUAAAUCAUUUUGCAACCAAUUAACCGAAAUUUUGGGGCCUGAUACUACUGCUAGACUUGUAAAAUGGUUUAAACCCUGAUGAUAAGAUGAUGUCUUAACACUCCUACUCCUAUAACAAUUUAAAUGAGUUUAAAUUGUAAAGGGUGGGAGUAUACUUUUAGGUAUAUAUAGUUUAGCUUUAUGCCAAUAUGGCAUUCAUUUGCAUUACAUUGAUUUUCACUUAUGUACAAAAAAAGUUUUUGUUUUCAUUAGUAAACCGAGCCCAACUCCUCAUUAUUAAAGGGACACACCAUCCAUGCAUGAUACAUACUGCAGCUUAUAAUAGUGGUUAUAGGGGGCUAUGAUGCCAGUCCUUUCAUAAUUUGACAUCAUCAAGGUUUUUAACCAACACCAGACAAAUGCACAACACACUAAGACACCCCCAAACAUCUGCAGGUAUUAUAAUGAGGAAAUCCACUGGUUCUUUGCAGGUACAGAGAAUUUGAAUGGUGCUUGUAGUGCUUGUAGUGCUCAUUUAAAUAAUCUGUGAUUUUUUUUCCCCUUAGACAUAUAAAAUAAUUUUGAUUGUAUGUGUAUAUGAACAGCAUAAUAACAACAACAAAUUAUUCAUAUUUUUCAAACUUUCAUUGAGAAUCACAAUUAGAAGUUAGACGUAGUACCACUUUAAAAUGUUGAAGACUUGUAUCUCACAGCUUAUUUCUACAGUUAUAAGAAGAAUGACAUCAGUUUUGUAAGUGAAUCAUAUCGCCACUAUGCUAGAAAACUAAAAAUGUGCAUAAAUUUCAUAUUGCUCGUCUCUCUUUUCUUAUUGUUCGUUUUCUCUUUAGUCAGAUUCUCUCUUCUCCUUAUUGCCCCUAUUCUCUUCCUCUAUUGUUUCUCGGUUUCCUUAUUUUACCAUGUUAGCCUUCUCUGUAUUACCUCCAGUGCUAUCCUUUCAUUCACCCCAACUUACCCUUGCAAUAUUUUGUGUAUUUUCAAUGUCUCAUAUUUCCUGCCACCCUUUUAUCAUACUCUAUCCUUUUCUGCUCAUGGGUAAGAAUUUUGAUGGAUGAUAACAAGCACAUAAUAAUGUCUGAGAAAGAGCAUCCUCGAAUGACUGUUUUUAAAAUUGAAAUACGGAAAUUACCUUCAAACAGUUAUACAGCAUCCUGGACAUUUGCCAAAAAGACUGAAAAAUUGUACAAUAAAAAUGUUCUCAAAAAGCCAAGAUCAAUGAGUACAUUUGUCUGAAAAUGAGAAACAUCUAAAAGCAACAUUAAGACAUUAAGAUUACAACGUGAAACCCAAAAGUUACAUUAGUGGAUAUUUUAUGGGCUCUGGAUGUAUUACUUAAAGCACAUAAACCAGAGGAAAACCAGGUACCCACAGGUGUAGGAAAGCUACACAACACUUAAUUAAGUAACAUAUUGCUUUACAUUAUUACAAAAAAAAUAUAAAAAUGCAAUUAUCGAUAUAAUUAAGGUCAACAGAUGUAUUUCCAUGAAUAUAAAAGCGUACAUGCCAGUUUAACUCUAUAAAAUGACCUCUGUGUAUUUAUCAUAAAUAAUGAAUAUACACUUGUAAUGAAAAGUAAG